GAUGAACGCUGGCGGCGUGCCUAAUACAUGCAAGUCGAGCGAACAGACGAGGAGCUUGCUCCUCUGACGUUAGCGGCGGACGGGUGAGUAACACGUGGAUAACCUACCUAUAAGACUGGGAUAACUUCGGGAAACCGGAGCUAAUACCGGAUAACAUGUUGAACCGCAUGGUUCAACAGUGAAAGACGGUCUUGCUGUCACUUAAAGAUGGAUCCGCGCCGCAUUAGCUAGUUGGUAAGGUAACGGCUUACCAAGGCAACGAUGCGUAGCCGACCUGAGAGGGUGAUCGGCCACACUGGAACUGAGACACGGUCCAGACUCCUACGGGAGGCAGCAGUAGGGAAUCUUCCGCAAUGGGCGAAAGCCUGACGGAGCAACGCCGCGUGAGUGAAGAAGGUCUUCGGAUCGUAAAACUCUGUUAUUAGGGAAGAACAAAUGUGUAAGUAACUAUGCACGUCUUGACGGUACCUAAUCAGAAAGCCACGGCUAACUACGUG
rnacentral:rRNA from 1 species